GACGAACGCUGGCGGCGUGCUUAACACAUGCAAGUCGAACGGAAAGGCCCUGCUUUUGUGGGGUGCUCGAGUGGCGAACGGGUGAGUAACACGUGAGUAACCUGCCCUUGACUUUGGGAUAACUUCAGGAAACUGGGGCUAAUACCGGAUAGGAGCUCCUGCUGCAUGGUGGGGGUUGGAAAGUUUCGGCGGUUGGGGAUGGACUCGCGGCUUAUCAGCUUGUUGGUGGGGUAGUGGCUUACCAAGGCUUUGACGGGUAGCCGGCCUGAGAGGGUGACCGGCCACUGUGGGGGUAGGGACGGGCCCAGACCCCGAGGGGGGGCAGGAGUGGGGAAUAUGGGCAAAGGGGCGGAAGCCUGAUGCAGAAACCCCGGGGGGGGGAGGAGGGCCUUCGGGUGGAAAACCGUUUUCGCCUGGGACGAGCCGGGGGGGGCGGGAAUGGGUAAAGAAGCCCCGGCUAACUCAGU
rnacentral:rRNA from 1 species